CAGUCGCCGCGGUAAUACGAAGGGUGCAAGCGUUACUCGGAAUUACUGGGCGUAAAGCGUGCGUAGGUGGUGGUUUAAGUCCGUUGUGAAAGCCCUGGGCUCAACCUGGGAAUUGCAGUGGAUACUGGGUCACUAGAGUGUGGUAGAGGAUAGUGGAAUUUCCGGUGUAGCAGUGAAAUGCGUAGAGAUCGGAAGGAACAUCUGUGGCGAAGGCGACUAUCUGGGCCAACACUGACACUGAGGCACGAAAGCGUGGGGAGCAAACAGGAUUAGAUACCCCGUAGUCCCUGUCUCUUAUACA
rnacentral:rRNA from 1 species